rnacentral:rRNA from 1 species
GCAUAUCCAAUAAGCGGAGGAAAAGAAACCAACAGGGAUUGCCUCAGUAACGGCGAGUGAAGCGGCAACAGCUCAAAUUUGAAAUCUGGCCUUACGGUCCGAGUUGUAAUUUGUAGAGGAUGUUUUGGGUACCGCCACGGUUUAAAUUUCUUGGAACAGAAUGUCAAAGAGGGUGAGAGUCCCGUCUUGGAUCGUGGUAGGGCCUGUGUAAAACUCCUUCGACGAGUCGACUUGUUUGGGAAUGCAGGUCAAAAUGGGUGGUAAAUUUCAUCUAAAGCUAAAUAUUGGCCAGAGACCGAUAGCGCACAAGUAGAGUGAUCGAAAGAUGAAAAGCACUUUGAAAAGAGAGUUAAACAGUAUGUGAAAUUGUUGAAAGGGAAGCGCUGGCAACCAGACUCGUGCGCGGGGUUCCCCCUUGCUUCUGCUUGGGUCACUUCCCCGUGUCCGGGCCAUCAUCAGUUUUGGGGGCCGGUUAAAGGCUCUGGGAAUGUAUCUACCCCUCCGGGGGUGGACUUAUAGCCCAGGGCGUCAUGCGGCCACCCAGGACUGAGGAACGCGCUUCGGCGAGGAUGAUGGCGUAAUGGUUGUCAGCGACCCGUCUUGAAACCACGGGACC